rnacentral:lncRNA from 1 species
UCUGGCUCUCAGUCCCCGCCUCACGGGGGGUGCCUCCCACCUCUGCCAUGGGGGUCCUAAGAGCCAGUGGGGGAACCAGGGGCUGGCUCUCAGUCCCUGCCUCGUGGAGAGUGCCUCCCCCCCCUUGCGAUGGGGGUACCAACAGCCAGGGGCGGAAGAGGGGAUAGCUCUCAGUCCCCACCCUCGCGGGCGGUGCCUCCCCCUCGUGCGAUGGGGGUCCUAAGAUCCAGGGGGGGAAGAGGGACUGGCUCUCAGUCCCUGACUCGCGGGGGGUGCCUCCCCCGUUGCGAUGGGGGUAGUAACAGCCAGGGGCGGAAGAGGGGAUAGCUCUCAGUCCCCACUCUCGUGGGGGGUGCCUCCCCCUCCUGCGAUGGGGGUCCGCAGAGCCGGGGGGGAAGAGGGACUGGCUCUCAGUAAUCCCACGUAAGGUACCUGCCGUCGGAAGAUUUGAACUUUCUACUUGGACAACUAACACUCGCAGUCCUCCAGGUGGAGCUGCGUUCGGACCCGUCGGAUCGUAAAUCCCAUGUAAGGUAUCUGCCGUCGGAAGAUUUGAACUUUCUAAUUGGACACCUAACACCCACAGUCCUCCAGGUACCUGCCGUUGGAAGAUUUGAACUUUCUACUUGGACAACUAACACCCACAGUCCUCCAGGUGGGUCCUAAGGAUCUUAGGAUCAACGAUGCGGGGUCCUAAGCC